UAAAUCAAUAGAUGAGACGCAACAUAAUUUUCCCUUAUAACUUUUCAAAGACGGCAACGAAAGUGUUUUUAAUACGAGAUUCUCUAAAAAACAAAAAUAUUUUAUAAGAAAACUCUAAAAUUCAUCUUCUCUCUCUAAACCCUCCGACUUCUCUGUAGAACUAUCAAAUAUCGAUCUCGUCUUCCCACUCCGGCGGCUUCUGUAGAGCCGGCAAUUAGGUAUUACAAAAGGGUUGAUCAUAAUGAUCUAUAUAACUUACAACAUCAACUCCCUGUUCUCUGUUUUAAACCACAAAACUCUCCAAUAAACAAACUUGGGACCCAAGAAAACUCCACCAUGUUAUAUCUAUUUAUAUAAAAUAGACUUUCAAUCACUCCUAGGCUAUCCACAUAGGAUGCCAUGUCAUAAACUCGAGUUUCCUGGCGCUGACACGUGUCCCAGAAGGUGAAACACAUCGUUUCAUUUAUUCUCCAGUGCGAUGGGCUUUUACCGUCUGGUAUCAUGUUUUGGCUCAAGCUUUGAUGGUUUAUGCGGCCCGAGCAGAUUGAAUCGUCUCUAACCCUAAUUAGUAACUGCGCGAAGAAAUGGAGAUGGUGUCGUCUCUCCUCUAAACUCAAGUCUGUUUCUCCGACAUGUUUCUCCGUUGAAGUCUCAUGGGCUCUUCGAUCUCCAGUGCUGCUUCUCACGCCGUCGAGGACCUGUCUUGAUACCACUGUGUCUGUCUCCGCUACUGCACCUCCGACUACUCCACGCUGUGUCCAUUCCGGUACAACAAAUGCUGAGACAGAAGCAUUUCUAUCGGAGCUGAAAGAGGAAAUAGAAGUUUUGUUGCAUAAUCUGAAAGCCUCAAAGAAUAAAACGCAAGAAUUGUUGUUACAUCUUUCAACUUCAGAGACUGAAAGCAAAGAGAACUAUGAAAAGCUACAGGCUGAUGCGCAGAGAGGCUGAAGAAAUGGAGAUUUUGCAGAAGGAUAGCGAUAGCAACCAGCUGCGUCUGGAUUCAUUCAAAAGAGGUGAACCAGCUCUAAUGCGUUAUUGAAGAGAAAGAGCUUCUUAUUAAUCAAUGCAAGGAAACGAGAAGAAAUUGGAUCAGAAAACAACAGAGGAUAAGGAGGUACUAGCAGCUGCUGAAACCAUGCUUCUAGACGCGAAGAAGCAAUAUGAUCUGAUGCUUCUAAACAGUUGGAAUUAUCUAGGCACUUGAAGGAGUUAUCUCAGAGGAAUGACAAGGCGGUUAAUCAAAUCCGGAGGAAGUAUGAUGAGGAGAAGCAGGAGAAAUGCUUCUCUGGUAUAGUAAUCUUCACUUUCUCAACAUCAACGAGCAUAAAUAAGCUUAUACAUGUGUGUAGUAGCAGAAGAUGCACAUACGAGAACCAAAAUACACACUAUCCGGGAGGAACACGAGAACAGGGAGUUCAAUCUCAAAGCUAAGCACGAUGAGGAACUGAGGCAAGCUCAAUUUCAGGCUGAAAUUGAAUUGAAAGAGAGGAUAACAACAAUCAGGAACGAGCAUGAUGUUCAACUGAAAGCAUUUAAGUGUCGGUACAAAGAUGAUUGCAAGAAGCUGCAAGACGGAUUAGAUCUUCAGAGAUCAAAAGAAGAGAGGCAAAGAGCUUUGUUGCAAAUGCAGUAGAGGGUUAUGAGUGAUAAAGCUCUAGAAGAGCAAGAAGUGAGCGCUAGGAAGGCUAGACCAGAAAUCAUUUUGAUCCACUGAAAUAUAUUACUUUAGUUUAUACUGUCUUAUAAAGAAACAUAAACGUAUACUGAUUUUGAGUACUUAAUCAUUAUCUUGCAGGAAUACUCUGAGAUUUCAUGAACAAUCGACAUUAAUUUGUCUCUUAAUUUUGUCUUUAGAACUGCAAAUAAGUUUCUGUUCAGCUCUGGAUAAUGGGUUUUAAAAACAGUACGUGUUUGAGGAAGGGUAAGAAGAUUUUGGAGGAGAGAUGGAUCAGUUUGAAACAUAACGCCAAGCUGAGUUUUUCGCUUCUUCAGAUUGGGGAAGAACAAAAGGUUUACAGGAGGUUUCAGAGAAGAGUGAGGAUUUAGAAAGGACGUCACCCUAUGGAUCUGCGUAACAUAGUUUUCAGGUCCUAAAGAAGAAAAAAAAUGAAGUAGGUGAGUUUGACAGUCUCAGAGAUUGAUGUGUUGUUCUGUAAUUUGCAAUGCAAACCAAUGAACUACUUACCAGGAACAAGUUGGUAAUUAGAGCAUUGUGGUGUCCACUGGGUAGCUUCCCAACACCCGCAAAAAGGUAGCAAAUUCCUGUUAGAUUAAAAAAAAACUAGAGCCUUGGUUACAUCCUA